rnacentral:lncRNA from 1 species
UGAAGCACUAGGUUAUUACAGUUCUGUUUUUUUUUUCAGCGCUGAAGGUAGCGCAGUGGUGUGCUGUGACAGAUGAUGUGUUAAACCGGGAUGAUUGCUCCUAACUAGGAAAUUUUUGUGGAAAUGUGUACAGUCCUGGGGGAGAGCAAGUUCGUCAAGGAUACCUGCCUUGUGUCAUUGUGAUUUUAAGUUUUGAAGAUGCUGAGGACCAGCAGCAGCUCCUGCAAACUUCAUUGGCAGCUGGGAAGAAUCAACAGUGAGAAGUCAUCCUAUGGGUGCCUUCACUCUAUGGGAAGGACUGGUUGUGAAGUUUGCCGAAGAGGUAAAUUAAAUCUAGGGUCUCUAGUGCACAGAGAAACACCUGAAAAACACCAGUUUUAAAGGGGACGUGACACCGGUUAUAUGAACUCAGUUCUGCCUGAACAGGCUUCGGGAUGUCUAACAGCCUUUGAGGAGAGCCAAGGCUACAAAAUUCUAUGAGCUCAGAAUUGCUGGGGGUGUACAGAUGCACAGGUUUGUGAUGUUAUUCGCCGAGAUGAUCAUCAGAAAUAGAGUAGGAACAUGUGUGUCUGGCCCCUGGAACAAAGAGGUGUUAAAUGGUGUUACUCCUGUUCUAGAAGGAUUACUCACAGAAAAAUAAUAUGCCAAAGAUAGGGCUUAGAUUGAAAGGAUUUUAAGAAUAGCAGAGAAAAAUCCAUCCCCAACUCUAUGUGAAAUAAACUGAUGGUUUCGAC